UUUCAUUGGAUCAAACACCUCAAUCUUACUCAUUUGUUAAGUCAAUUUGUAUACCACUAUUAUUUCAUUAUUAAUUUUAAUUUAUAUAUUUAUGCAAAUUU
rnacentral:rRNA from 1 species